CUGGCUCUUCACGUGAGCAUGUGCUCGUGCCGUCUAUUUAUCUUCUCUUGUGCACAUCUUGUAGUCUUGAAAAAAAAGUGAACCUCUCGCAGCGAUGCGGUUUGGGGGAGUGGGCCUUUGUGCUCUUCCUCUGCUUGCUUUCUUUCAAGGCUAUGUUUUCAUAUACACUAUAAAGUUACAGAAUGUCUUUUAACGAUUGUGCUUGUCGCAGUCAUUAAACCUAUACAACUUUCAGCAACGGAUCUCUUGGCUCUCCCAUCGAUGAAGAACGCAGCGAAAUGCGAUAAGUAAUGUGAAUUGCAGAAUUCAGUGAAUCAUCGAAUCUUUGAACGCACCUUGCGCCCUUUGGUAUUCCGAAGGGCAUGCCUGUUUGAGUGUCAUUAAAUUAUCAACCUUGUUCGCUUUUACUAGCUUGAGCGAGGCUUGGAUGUGAGGGCUUGCUGGCUUCCUUCAGUGGAUGGUCUGCUCCCUUUAAAUGCAUUAGCGGGAUCUCUUGUGGACCGUCACUUGGUGUGNAUAAUUAUCUAUCCCAGUUGACUNUGAAGCAAAACUUUAUCGGAACCCGCUCAUAACCGUCUCGCAAGAGACAAUGUUUAUUGACUUGACCUCAAAUCAGGUAGGACUACCCGCUG
rnacentral:rRNA from 1 species